AUCUGAUUCACACUGCAAGUUGUGUUUGAAUCAAGUGUCGUAUCUGUUCUUAUCAGUUUAAUAUCUGAUACAUCCUUGAUGAGAGGACUUUAUAUUAAAUGGAUUUUUGGGUCUGAGUAUUUAAAUAUUUUUUCCCCCUGUACUUGGCACUGGUGAGGCCACACCUU
rnacentral:snRNA from 1 species